rnacentral:rRNA from 1 species
GACGAACGCUGGCGGCGUGCUUAACACAUGCAAGUCGAACGGAAAGGCCCUGCUUUUGUGGGGUGCUCGAGUGGCGAACGGGUGAGUAACACGUGAGUAACCUGCCCUUGACUUUGGGAUAACUUCAGGAAACUGGGGCUAAUACCGGAUAGGAGCUCCUGCUGCAUGGUGGGGGUUGGAAAGUUUCGGCGGUUGGGAAUGGACUCGCGGCUUAUCAGCUUGUUGGUGGGGUAGUGGCUUACCAAGGCUUUGACGGGUAGCCGGCCUGAGAGGGUGACCGGCCACAUUGGGACUGAGAUACGGCCCAGACUCCUACGGGAGGCAGCAGUGGGGAAUAUUGCACAAUGGGCGGAAGCCUGAUGCAGCAACGCCGCGUGCGGGAUGACGGCCUUCGGGUUGUAAACCGCUUUCGCCUGUGACGAAGCGUGAGUGACGGUAAUGGGUAAAGAAGCACCGGCUAACUACGCG